AGAAUGCAGGAACUGAAGCCCGAAAGGCGAACAUGCUGAGUCUCAGCCCAGAGUGGAGAGCCCAGGGCGGGAAAGUUCCCGAGGGUCCCAGCCCUCCGCGAGGUCUGCUCGGCGGAGCCCGGGCUGGAGCACCGGGGAUCAAGGAGGCCCGAAGCAGCGCAGAGCGUCGGGUGGCCCCGGGAAGCCGCGGCCGCGCCGGGAGCCUCUCCCGGUUGCCGGCUGCCGAGUCUGCCGCUUCCUGCCGCGGGGUCCGGAGAGAGCGGCGCUCCGCGCCACCAGCCAGCCCGUCCGACCGACCGCCCGCCCGCCCGCCCAGGAUGCGCUCGCCUGCCAGGGAAGCGCUCACACCUCGCACAAAAGGCGCCGCGGCGGGACGGCGGGGAAUAGGCGACCGCUGCCUCCCGGAACUUUGCAGACAUCGCACCGCAGCUCCACAGCUCCAAACCCCCGGCGCAGGAGGAGGCCGAGGCGGCGGCGGAGAGUCGGGGCAUCGCCCGGCAGUGCCUCCGCCUUGCCGGCUGCCGGCGGCUCCCGCCCCCGGUUAACCAGCGCUCGCUCUUAAAGGCGCCCGCUGCUGGUUAGGCCGCGAGGUAAGGAAGAG
ensembl:processed_transcript